CGCAUCUGUGCAUGCAGCAUAUCAAUAAGCGGAGGAAAAGAAAUUAACAAGGAUUCCCUUAGUAACGGCGAGUGAAGCGGGAAGAGCUCAAAUUUGAAAUCUUCAAGGUUUUACCUUGACGAAUUGUAGUUUAAAGAAGUGUUUUCUGUUGAAGUUUUGGUAAAAGUUCUUUGGAAUAGGACAUCAUAGAGGGUGAGAAUCCCGUAUUUGACCAUUAUUUUCAGCUGUGUGAUACACUUUCAAAGAGUCGGAUUGUUUGGGAAUGCAGUCCAAAAUGGGUGGUAAAUUUCAUCUAAAGCUAAAUAUUGGCGAGAGACCGAUAGCGAACAAGUACCGUGAGGGAAAGAUGAAAAGAACUUUGAAAAGAGAGUUAAACAGUACGUGAAAUUGUCAAAAGGGAAGCGUUUGACACCAGUGUUGUUUUCUCGAAAAUCAAUUAAAAAGAGUUAGAUUUUGUUGUGUAUUGACCUUAACAGCUUGCAUUUCAAUUUUCUUGCUUUUUUUAAUGCACUUUUCGUUUAACAAGUCAACAUCAGUUUCUUUUGUUGUAAAAAGGUCAUUGGAAGGUGGCUUUCUUUUCGGAGAAAGUGUUUAUAGCCUUUGACUCCUGCAAUCGGAGAGACUGAGGUCUGCAGCGUAGAUCCUUCGGGGUUAGAUACAUUUGUGCUAAGUUAUAGCUUUUUAUAGACAACUUGUUGACUAUGAUUAGUCUUGUAGCUUACUCGCUUAUGCUAUUUUACCUACGCUUAGGAUGUUGACACACGCGCGUGCUCG
rnacentral:rRNA from 1 species